AUACCUUUCUCGGCCUUUUGGCUCAGAUCAUGUGUAGUAUCUGUUCUUAUUAGCUUAAUCGCUAAUAUGGUCCUCAUUGAGGACCUGCGAUUAACUUGAAUAUUUCUCGGGGGCUUGUCAAUGGUGCGCUUGCGCAUCCGACUUGCCAGCAUGGUUGCGGCCUUACACUACCGCUGCAGCCGUGCACCCGCC
rfam:Volvox carteri f. nagariensis unplaced genomic scaffold VOLCAscaffold_24, whole genome shotgun sequence.